rfam:Schistosoma mattheei strain Denwood, Zambia genome assembly, scaffold: SMTD_scaffold0011220
ACCCAGCUGACGAGUCCCAAAUAGGACGAAACGCGCGUUCUGGAU